UUCUUCUUCCAGUGAGUCUUGUUGUUUUGGUCGGUCGAGAGAUUUUUCUCGUUUCAUCUUCUUCCAUCGACGACGACGAUUUGCUCAGAAACAAAACAGUUUCUCAUCGGAGAAGAAUCUCGUUUACGAUUCUCCUUCUCCUAAUCUCGUUUAGUACAAGGGUCUCUGGUUCGAUUGACGAAUCUGGAAGAAGAGUGAUUGAAGCGAGAACUGGGCAAGACUUGAUUUGGGUUGUUCAGCUUUCCGAUCUCCAUUUCAGUGUUCAUCAUCCCGAAAGAGCCAUUGAUUUCAAAAACAUCGUUGGUCCUGCUCUGUCUCUUAUCAACCCUUCUCUCGUUCUAAUCACCGGUGAUCUCACAGAUAGGAAAAGCAAAGACAUGUUAACAAUGAAGCUAAAUGAAGAUGAGUGGUUAGAAUACGAGAGUGUGAUGAAAGAUGUUGUGAAAGAAGUGGGUUGAAUAAGAGCAUAUUCUAUGUAGAGAAGAGAAAUGUUGCAUCCGCGGAUUCUAUCAUCCGAGGAGCAAUAGAAAACAAUGAGAAACUACGAGCGCAGUUUUCUUCUGCGGUCACAACCACAUUAAGCAAUGUGGAUUCUGCAAACAGCGAUAUCAUCUCAUCCAUUGACCAAUCUUUACAACUCGAUAAAGACGUAUCAGUGGAUGUUAAUUCCACAAUCGCUCCUUGUUCUGAAAACUUGAAAGAACUAAGAAGCCACCAUGAUGGCAACGUAGUAGACAUCAAAGAAAAGACAGGAAAAUGUUUUGGUCACGAGUACAAGGUGGAUGAAGCAACAAGCUCAACGCCAAGGAAGAGAGAGUACAACAUUCCAACGGUAGGAUCAAUAGAAGAACUGAAAACGCCUUCAUUGGGUGCUGAAAGUACUUCCAACUGGUGGUAUCAGUUUACCGACCUUUCCGUUGGAUUCAUGUUUUAUGUCAACAUCCUUUGCACGUCACAAAUAUGAAUGAUAGUAGCAUGAUCAUAGUUUUCAUGAUCAUAGUUUUCAAGAAGCAGUUCAUUCUCAACAGUGUUUUAUUGUUUCAUACAAAUAUUAUAUUAAUAAAUCAUAUGAUCUUACACUA